GCGUCUGUAGCUCAGCUGGAUAGAGCGCGGCCCUCCGGAGGCCGAGGUCAGGGGUUCGAAUCCUCUCAGGCGCACCA
rnacentral:tRNA from 1 species